rnacentral:tRNA from 1 species
ACCUGGGUGGCUCAGUUGGUUAAGCGUCUGACUUCAGCUCAGGUCAUGAUCUCGCGGUCCGUGAGUUCGAGCCCCACGUCGGGUU